GAAAUGCGAUAAGUAGUGUGAAUUGCAGAAUUCAGUGAAUCAUCGAAUCUUUGAACGCACAUUGCGCCCCUUGGUAUUCCAUGGGGCAUGCCUGUUCGAGCGUCAUUUGUACCUUCAAGCUUUGCUUGGUGUUGGGUGUUUGUCUCGCCUCUGCGCGCAGACUCGCCUCAAAACAAUUGGCAGCCGGCGUAUUGAUUUCGGAGCGCAGUACAUCUCGCGCUUUGCACUCAUAACGACGACGUCCAAAAAGUACAUUUUUUACACUCUCGACCUCGGAUCAGGUAGGGAUACCCGCUGAACUUAAGC
rnacentral:misc_RNA from 1 species